AUGAGGCGAACCGGGGGAACUGAAACAUCUAAGUACCCCGAGGAAAAGAAAUCAACCGAGAUUCCCCCAGUAGCGGCGAGCGAACGGGGAGGAGCCCAGAGCCUGAAUCAGCAUGUGUGUUAGUGGAAGCGUCUGGAAAGGCGCGCGAUACAGGGUGACAGCCCCGUACACAAAAGCGCAUGUGCUGUGAGCUCGAUGAGUAGGGCGGGACACGUGGUAUCCUGUCUGAAUAUGGGGGGACCAUCCUCCAAGGCUAAAUACUCCUGACUGACCGAUAGUGAACCAGUACCGUGAGGGAAAGGCGAAAAGAACCCCGGCGAGGGGAGUGAAAAAGAACCUGAAACCGUGUACGUACAAGCAGUGGGAGCCCCACCACUAAGCCAGUGGUGAACUCCACAUACGCAUCCUUUGCUGAAGGCAAUGGUUAACGGAGCGAAAGCGACGUUCAACCGCAAAACAAGCAGAGGGGGCUUAGUGGUGGGGUGACUGCGUACCUUUUGUAUAAUGGGUCAGCGACUUAUAUUCUGUAGCAAGGUUAACCGAAUAGGGGAGCCGGAGGGAAACCGAGUCUUAACCGGGCGUUAAGUUGCAGGGUAUAGACCCGAAACCCGGUGAUCUAGCCAUGGGCAGGUUGAAGGUUGGGUAACACUAACUGGAGGACCGAACCGACUAAUGUUGAAAAAUUAGCGGAUGACCUGUGGCUGGGGGUGAAAGGCCAAUCAAACCGGGAGAUAGCUGGUUCUCCCCGAAAGCUAUUUAGGUAGCGCCUCGUGAACUCAUCUCCGGGGGUAGAGCACUGUUUCGGCUAGGGGGCCAUCCCGGCUUACCAACCCGAUGCAAACUGCGAAUACCGGAGAAUGUUAUCACGGGAGACACACGGCGGGUGCUAACGUCCGUCGUGAAGAGGGAAACAACCCAGACCGCCAGCUAAGGUCCCAAAGUCAUGGUUAAGUGGGAAACGAUGUGGGAAGGCCCAGACAGCCAGGAUGUUGGCUUAGAAGCAGCCAUCAUUUAAAGAAAGCGUAAUAGCUCACUGGUCGAGUCGGCCUGCGCGGAAGAUGUAACGGGGCUAAACCAUGCACCGAAGCUGCGGCAGCGACACUCAGGUGUUGUUGGGUAGGGGAGCGUUCUGUAAGCCUGUGAAGGUGUGUCGUGAGGCAUGCUGGAGGUAUCAGAAGUGCGAAUGCUGACAUAAGUAACGAUAAAGCGGGUGAAAAGCCCGCUCGCCGGAAGACCAAGGGUUCCUGUCCAACGUUAAUCGGGGCAGGGUGAGUCGACCCCUAAGGCGAGGCCGAAAGGCGUAGUCGAUGGGAAACGGGUUAAUAUUCCCGUACUUGGUGUUACUGCGAAGGGGGGACGGAGAAGGCUAUGUUGGCCGGGCGACGGUUGUCCCGGUUUAAGCGUGUAGGUGUGUGUUCCAGGUAAAUCCGGUUCACUUUAACACUGAGGCGUGACGACGAGGCACUACGGUGCUGAAGCAACAAAUGCCCUGCUUCCAGGAAAAGCCUCUAAGCAUCAGGUAACAUCAAAUCGUACCCCAAACCGACACAGGUGGUCAGGUAGAGAAUACCAAGGCGCUUGAGAGAACUCGGGUGAAGGAACUAGGCAAAAUGGUGCCGUAACUUCGGGAGAAGGCACGCUGACACGUAGGUGAAGUGAUUUACUCAUGGAGCUGAAGUCAGUCGAAGAUACCAGCUGGCUGCAACUGUUUAUUAAAAACACAGCACUGUGCAAACACGAAAGUGGACGUAUACGGUGUGACGCCUGCCCGGUGCCGGAAGGUUAAUUGAUGGGGUCAGCGCAAGCGAAGCUCCUGAUCGAAGCCCCGGUAAACGGCGGCCGUAACUAUAACGGUCCUAAGGUAGCGAAAUUCCUUGUCGGGUAAGUUCCGACCUGCACGAAUGGCGUAAUGAUGGCCAGGCUGUCUCCACCCGAGACUCAGUGAAAUUGAACUCGCUGUGAAGAUGCAGUGUACCCGCGGCAAGACGGAAAGACCCCGUGAACCUUUACUAUAGCUUGACACUGAACAUUGAGCCUUGAUGUGUAG
rnacentral:rRNA from 1 species